rnacentral:rRNA from 1 species
CCUACGGGAGGCAGCAGUGGGGAAUAUUGCACAAUGGGCGCAAGCCUGAUGCAGCCAUGCCGCGUGUGUGAAGAAGGCCUUCGGGUUGUAAAGCACUUUCAGCGGGGAGGAAGGCGUUAAGGUUAAUAAUCUUGGCGAUUGACGUUACCCGCAGAAGAAGCACCGGCUAACUCCGUGCCAGCAGCCGCGGUAAUACGGAGGGUGCAAGCGUUAAUCGGAAUUACUGGGCGUAAAGCGCACGCAGGCGGUCUGUCAAGUCGGAUGUGAAAUCCCCGGGCUCAACCUGGGAACUGCAUUCGAAACUGGCAGGCUAGAGUCUUGUAGAGGGGGGUAGAAUUCCAGGUGUAGCGGUGAAAUGCGUAGAGAUCUGGAGGAAUACCGGUGGCGAAGGCGGCCCCCUGGACAAAGACUGACGCUCAGGUGCGAAAGCGUGGGGAGCAAACAGGAUUAGAUACCCGGGUAGUC